UUCCACGGCGGGCCGGGCGGGGCAGCCGCAUGGCUGGCCGGUUUUCCCUCGGUUCACCGGUUUGUCACCCCCGCUGCCAGGCCCGCCACCUCC
rnacentral:antisense_RNA from 1 species